rnacentral:rRNA from 2 species
UAAGAUUAAGCCAUGCAUGUCUAAGUAUAAGCAAUUAUACGGCGAAACUGCGAAUGGCUCAUUAUAUAAGUUAUCGUUUAUUUGAUAGCACAUUACUACUUGGAUAACCGUGGUAAUUCUAGAGCUAAUACAUGCUAAAAAUCCCGACUUCGGAAGGGAUGUAUUUAUUAGAUUAAAAACCAAUGCCCUCUGGGCUCUCUGGUGAAUCAUGAUAACUGCUCGAAUCGCAGGGCCUCGUGCCGGCGAUGGUUCAUUCAAAUUUCUUCCCUAUCAACUUUCGAUGUUUGGGUAUUGGCCAAACAUGGUUACAACGGGUAACGGAGGGUUAGGGCUCGACCCCGGAGAAGGAGCCUGAGAAACGGCUACUACAUCCAAGGAAGGCAGCAGGCGCGCAAAUUACCCAAUCCCGACACGGGGAGGUAGUGACAAUAAAUACUGAUACAGGGCUCUUUCGGGUCUUGUAAUUGGAAUGAGUACAAUUUAAAUCCCUUAACGAGGAACAAUUGGAGGGCAAGUCUGGUG